GUACACGCUGUGACUAGCAUAUCAAUAAGCGGAGGAAAAGGCUGCGGAACUGAACGACCGCUACCUACGCUUAGGAUGUUGACACACGCGCGUGCUCGACUCUAUACAUGACUCUGUGCAUACCAAUAAGCGGAGGAAAAGAGAUGACCUACCUACGCUUAGGAUGUGACAGCAGUAUAGACUGUACACGCUGUGACUAGCAUAUCAAUAAGCGGAGGAAAAGAAACUAACAAGGAUUCCCCUAGUAACGGCGAGUGAAGCGGGAAGAGCUCAAAUUUGAAAUCUUAGAGGGUUUCCCUUUACGAAUUGUAGUUUAAAGAAGUGUUUUCUGUUGAGGUUUUGGUAAAAGUUCUUUGGAAUAGGACAUCAUAGAGGGUGAGAAUCCCGUAUUUGACCUUUACUUUCAACUUUGUGAUACACUUUCAAAGAGUCGGAUUGUUUGGGAAUGCAGUCCAAAAUGGGUGGUAAAUUUCAUCUAAAGCUAAAUAUUGGCGAGAGACCGAUAGCGAACAAGUACCGUGAGGGAAAGAUGAAAAGAACUUUGAAAAGAGAGUUAAACAGUACGUGAAAUUGUCAAAAGGGAAGCGUUUGACACCAGUGUUGUUUUUCUGAAAAUCAAUUAAAGAACUGUUUAUGCUAAGUUGUUUAGACUUUAUCAGCUAACUGUUUAGUUUUGAGCUUUUCUUUAAUGCACUUUUCAGUUAACAAGUCAACAUCAAUUUCUUUUGCUGUAAAAAAGCUUGAGGAAGGUGGCUUGAGAUUCGUCUUAAGUGUUUAUAGCCUCUUGCCUAUGCAGUCGGAGAGAUUGAGGUCCGCAGCGUAGAUCCUUCGGGGCUAAAUGCAUUUGUGCUAAGUUAUAGCAUUUUAUAGACAACUUGUUGACUAUGAUUUGUCUUGUAGCUUACUCGCUUAUGUUAUUUUACCUACGCUUAGGAUGUUGACAGCAGUAUAGACUGU
rnacentral:rRNA from 1 species